rnacentral:rRNA from 1 species
UGAAGCUGGCGGCUGCUUACACAUGCAGUCGAACGGCAGCGCGGGGCACUAGGCGGCGAGUAGGCGAACGGGUGAGUAAUAUAUCGGAACGUACCCUGGAGUGGGGGAUAACGUAGCGAAAGUUACGCUAAUACCGAUACGAUCUAAGGAUGAAAGCCGGGGACCCGAAGCUUUGUGCUCCUUGGAGCGGGCGAUAUCUGAUUAGCUAGUUGGUGGGGUAAAGGCCUACCAAGGCAUCGAUCAGUAGCUGGUCUGAGAGGAUGAUCAGCCACACUGGGACUGAGACACGGCCCAGACUCCUACGGGAGGCAGCAGUGGGGAAUUUUGGACAAUGGGGGAAACCCUGAUCCAGCCAUGCCGCGUGAGUGAAGAAG